UACGGAGGGAGCUAGCGUUGUUCGGAAUCACUGGGCGUAAAGCGCACGUAGGCGGAUCGUUAAGUCGGGGGUGAAAUCCCAGGGCUCAACCCUGGAACUGCCUUCGAUACUGGCGAUCUUCGAGUCCGGGAGAGGUGAGUGGAACUCCGAGUGUAGAGGUGAAAUUCGUAGAUAUUCGCAAGAACACCAGUGGCGAAGGCGGCUCACUGGCCCGAUACUGACGCUGAGGUGCGAAAGCGUGGGGAGCAAACAGG
rnacentral:rRNA from 1 species